rnacentral:rRNA from 1 species
CGUAGGUGGCAAGCGAUACUCGGAAUCACUAGGCGUAAAGCGCAGGUAGGAGGUUGGAUAAGUCUCUUGUGAAAGCUCCCGGCUUAACUGGGAGAGGUCAAGGGAACCUAUUCGGCUAGAGUGUGGUAGAGGUAGAUGGAAUUCCCGGUGUAGCGGUGAAAUGCGUAGAUAUCGGGAGGAAUACCUAUGGCGAAAGCAGUUUACUGGACCAUCACUGACUCUGAUCUGCGAAAGCUAGGGGAGCAAACAGGAUUAGAUACCCUGGUAGUCCUAGCCCUAAACGAUGCUCAUUAGGUGUGGGAGGUAUCGACCCCUUCCGCGCCGUAGCUAACGCAUUAAAUGAGCCGCCUGGGGAGUACGGCCGCAAGGUUG